GGGGGCGAACGGCUUCGACGGGGUGUAGAUGCGGAAGAGGGCAUGGCAAGGGUCCCUCGUGACCUUGUAAAUCCUGCGAGGGGAAAAACAACUGCUGAUAACAGCUACGCACUGGUCGCUUAAUUAGCGACCGCGUCGGUUCUAGGUUUGACCCGUUCGGUCUAGUUCCGGCGGAUAAUCAGGACGGGCGAAGCCUGCGGAGUGUCAUCGGCCCCAGGUGGAUUUCUUAGAUGACUGGUUCCCUAGUGGCCGGUCACGGGGCAGCGAAGGAACGAGACUUUAAACUGUGACUAACCAUGUAGUCCUCGACCGUUGACCAUCUCGGACGCGGGUUCGAUUCCCGCCGCCUCCA
rnacentral:tmRNA from 1 species